AUUCCUCAUCCUUACUCCAGGGUAAUCGUUAUCCAUACGUUCCCUGGCAUUACUUGAGGAUAAAGUAAUUACUCUCAUGCUACCUAUGGUUGCCAUUUUCCACAGGACUAGUCAUGUUGAGUAUACACU